rnacentral:rRNA from 1 species
CACUCCUGCGGGAGGCAGCAGUGGGGAAUAUUGCACAAUGGGCGCAAGCCUGAUGCAGCCAUGCCGCGUGUAUGAAGAAGGCCUUCGGGUUGUAAAGUACUUUCAGCGGGGAGGAAGGCGAUAAGGUUAAUAACCUUGUUGAUUGACGUUACCCGCAGAAGAAGCACCGGCUAACUCCGUGCCAGCAGCCGCGGUAAUACGGAGGGUGCAAGCGUUAAUCGGAAUUACUAGGCGUAAAGCGCACGCAGGCGGUCUGUCAAGUCGGAUGUGAAAUCCCCGGGCUCAACCUGGGAACUGCAUUCGAAACUGGCAGGCUAGAGUCUUGUAGAGGGGGGUAGAAUUCCAGGUGUAGCGGUGAAAUGCGUAGAGAUCUGGAGGAAUACCGGUGGCGAAGGCGGCCCCCUGGACAAAGACUGACGCUCAGGUGCGAAAGCGUGGGGAGCAAACAGGAUUAGAUACCCCUGUAGUCCCA